CAAUUUUCAAUUGUAAAAUACAAAUUUAAAAAACAAUAUUAUAAAUAUAACAAUACUAAACUUUUCCUUCAUUCUUAAAUGUUGGACAUCGAAGUUACUUGAUUCAUUCUUCCCCACAAGUCUUACUAGCAUAGAUCAACAUUCAAAGUUGAUUCCUAUAUAGUAAAUAAGAAAUACAAGUAGAGAAUACAACGAUACUACCUAUUCCAGAAUGGUCUUAACUAAGAUUUAAAUAAAAAAAAAAUAUAUACCUCUUCGUCAACUUCCUUCUCGCUAAACGUUGCACAAGCUCUAGAAUAUAAUGAAGAAGUAGAAUUUUCUACACACAAUAGAAAAAAUAACAAUAACAGGAGCCAUGCGUGAAUUUGUGGUUUGUGGAGAGUAUGGUUUGCAUUUAUAUACUGUCAUACUAAUCCUAUUAUUAUGAGCUAAUGGUAAGUGAGUUGGCCGGCUGAAUCAGGUAGAUGUAAUGGGGGGAAAUUUGUUUUGGACUAGAUAGAAAAGUAGUGUAAAGCCCAAUAAUCAAUUCAAUUUUGUGUGUGCGCGCGUUUUUUUUUUUUUUUUUUUUUUUUUUUUUUU
rnacentral:lncRNA from 1 species